UACAGAGGGUGCGAGCGUUAAUCGGAAUUACUGGGCGUAAAGGGCGCGUAGGCGGCCUUCUAAGUCGAACGUGAAAUCCCCGGGCUCAACCCGGGAACUGCGUCCGAUACUGGCAGGCUUGAAUCCGGGAGAGGGAUGCGGAAUUCCAGGUGUAGCGGUGAAAUGCGUAGAUAUCGGGAGGAACACCAGUGGCGAAGGCGGCGAUCUGGGCAGAUACUGACGCUGAGGUGCGAAAGCGUGGGGAGCAAACAGGG
rnacentral:rRNA from 1 species